rnacentral:misc_RNA from 1 species
UCUCCGUUGGUGAACCAGCGGAGGGAUCAUUACAGGACUCGCAAGACUCCUACAACCCUGUGAACUUAACUAUAAGCACGUUCCUUCGGCGGGUGUCUCGGAGGGGGUUCUCCCUCCCCGAGACGCUCAACCCGCCGGCACCCUACGAUACUCUGUCUCUUUGCGUUGGCAUCUCGAGUACAAUCAAACAAGUUAAAACUUUCAACAACGGAUCUCUUGGUUCUG